AUUAAUCGACAUGCAUAAAGUAAUCAUGAUCUACCUAUUAUAAUAUUCAAUAUAUUAAAUUUAUUCUUGAAUAUCUAUUUUACAAAUAUAUAAGAACGUAUAUAUUGAUCACCAUAAAAAAUAAUAAAAAAACAAAUCUAAUUAAUUAAACCCUAACACAUGACCGUUGAAAUUAACCCUAAAUCUCAAACCCCAAAACCUCUAACCCCUAAAUUAACCUUAAAUCCCCAAUUACCUUAAAUCUAUACCCCGUACUCA
rnacentral:lncRNA from 1 species